rnacentral:tRNA from 1 species
GCGGUCGUGGUGGAAUUGGUAGACACGCAAGGUUAAGGACCUUGUGGGGGUAAACCCUGUGCCGGUUCAAUUCCGGCCGACCGCA